CUAAUAUGAGGCUCGUUUACAUCCGAGCUCGAGCCCGAGCUCGAGCCCGAGCAGCUCACGAGCCCAAACGAGCUUGGGCCUUUGGCUAUUUGCUGAAUGCUGAUUGAUUGGUCUCCCAUGGCCAUGGGCCCACCCGGCCAGCCCACUCUCCAGCCGGACCAGCCCCCACCGUCCAUCGACCCAGAUCGUAAUCACCACCACUCAUCACUCAUCAGCUCAUGCAUGCCCUAGUCUCCUCGACUCCUCCUGUGACCCUGUCUCCCUCUCGAGUCUCGGCCGCCUCUCCCAAGUCCCACUCGACAGUCGACUCCCAACUCCCAAGUCCCAGCCCUCCCCCGAUUUCG
rnacentral:lncRNA from 1 species